rnacentral:rRNA from 1 species
AAUGAACGUUGGCGGCGUGGAUUAGGCAUGCAAGUCGAGCGAGAACCCGCAAGGGGACAGCGGCGAACGGGGUAGGAAUACGUAGGUAACGUACCCUCGGGGCGAGGACAGCCACGGGAAACUGUGGGUAAUACUCGAUAAACUUCCCAAUCAUUAUGGAAGGGGAAGCAAUGGGUGUGAUUCCACCUGAGGAGCGGCUUACGCAGUAUCAGCUAGUUGGUGAGGUAACGGCUCACCAAGGCUACGACGCUUAGGGGGUGUGAGAGCAUGGCCCCCACCACUGGCACUGAGACACUGGCCAGACACCUACGGGUGGCUGCAGUCGAGAAUCUUCGGCAAUGGACGCAAGUCUGACCGAGCGACGCCGCGUGUGGGAUGAAGGCCUUCGGGUUGUAAACCACUGUCAGAGGGGAUGAAGUGUACGAGAGUUAUCUCUUGUAUUUGGCAGAGCCUCAGAGGAAGCACGGGCUAAGUUCGUGCCAGCAGCCGCGGUAAU